rfam:Myotis brandtii contig294813, whole genome shotgun sequence.
GGCUGGUAGCUCAGUUGGUUAGAGCAUUGUUCUGAUACACCAAGGUUGCGGGUUCGAUCUCCGGUCAGGGCCU